rnacentral:rRNA from 1 species
GACGAACGCUGGCGGCGUGCUUAACACAUGCAAGUCGAACGGAAAGGCCCUUCUCGGGGGGUACUCGAGUGGCGAACGGGUGAGUAAUACGUGAGUAACCUGCCCCUCUCUUUGGGCUAACUUCAGGAGACUGUGGCUCAUACUGGAUAGGUGCUCCUGCUGCAUGGUGGGGGUUGGAAAGUUUCGGGGGGUGGGGAUGGCCUCGCGGCUUAUCAGCUUGUUGGUGGGGUAGUGGCUUACCAAGGCUUUGACGGGUAGCCGGGCCUGGAGGGGGACCCGCCAAAAUGGGAAUGGGAUUCGGGCCCGACCCCCAAGGGGGGGAAGAGGGGGGAAUAUUGCACAAAUGGUGGGAGCCUGGUGCAGCAACGCCCGGUGCGGGGAGGCGGGCUUCGGGGUGUAAACCGGUUUUGCGCAGGACGGAGCUGUGAGUGACGGUAGUGGGAAAAGAAGCACCGGCUAACUACGUG